UACGUAGGUGGCAAGCGUUGUCCGGAUUUAUUGGGCGUAAAGCGAGCGCAGGCGGUUUCUUAAGUCUGAUGUGAAAGCCCCCGGCUCAACCGGGGAGGGUCAUUGGAAACUGGGAGACUUGAGUGCAGAAGAGGAGAGUGGAAUUCCAUGUGUAGCGGUGAAAUGCGUAGAUAUAUGGAGGAACACCAGUGGCGAAGGCGGCUCUCUGGUCUGUAACUGACGCUGAGGCUCGAAAGCGUGGGGAGCGAACAGGAUUAGAUACCCUGGUAGUCCACGCCGUAAACGAUGAGUGCUAAGUGUUGGAGGGUUUCCGCCCUUCAGUGCUGCAGCAAACGCAUUAAGCACUCCGCCUGGGGAGUACGUUCGCAAGAAUGAA
rnacentral:rRNA from 1 species